CAGACAUUAAGAAUCUACUAGAGAAGAGGAGGAUAAGAUGCAGAAUCUAGUCCACUGAAAGAAAAGAAACAUCUCUUUUAAAGAUCUGCUUGGUCACGAAACAGAAAAGAUAAUAUGCCUUUAAGAAUCAUUAUAUGGAUGUGAGUUCCCCCAAACUACAAAUUCAAUUGCAUACAAUCCAAACAAAUUGCAUACAAAUGCGAACUGCACAUACCAGAUCAUAAGCAAUUGUAUAAAGCAAACUGCAAACCAAGUAGAGCAAGUGAACUAUUGGUUAG